UAUCAGCCUUUUGGGCAUGAUUCUGUGGAGCGUGCGGGGUUAAACGCCUUCAUGCCUGCAUAUUCGUGUACUUUGGGUGUACUUGCCUGUGUGGUUAGUUAACAUCAAUUUUGGUUAUCAUAAAAUGGUUGGAGGAAUGUAGCUUCGAUUUCGAUUGAAGUGUUAUAGCCUUCGGCAGAUGUGAUGAUCGGGAUUGAGGAUUGCAACGGAUACCCUUCGGGGCUACCUGUCUGGUCUCUGAUCGUUGCUCUGGUGCCGAAAGCGUGCUUACGGUUAUCAAAGUCGAUGGUCAAUAGGUUAGAACGGGUUAAAUUCGUUAAGGAUGUUGACGUA
rnacentral:rRNA from 1 species